GAGUAGAGGCCGGCGGCUUACGAUAGCAGGAGAUUUCACCUUCAGAAAGAAAGUAACACGAUGGAGGAGAGCUCACGUGUUCCCCUUUUAUACAAAGUCACGUGAUUAAAAGCGCCUGCAGAGGCUUCUGGGAAAUGUAGUAUUAUUUUGUCAACGGCUGGAGGAGCGUUAAGAGCUAAUGAAGAACCAAAACAUGUCAAGACAAAGGUCCGGGGAAUCUAUGUUUUGUUUAUAUGAGAAAUCUGGCACCUGAGAGAUGGAGACCACGGUCAAAGUCCUGAUCGUCUGCCAUCUCCUCUUCCUGUGUGCACUAAGCAGCGCCAAGGAGGAAAAAGUCAUCACCAUGGACUGAAGACUAUUUCACAAAGACUCUGAACGGAAACACAUCACCACGCCAGGAAAUUUGAUGUGUAUAUAAGUGGGAAACAUUCAUUCUAAAAUGAAAGGUAUCUUUCCAAAAUGUCCCUCACAGUAUGAGACACAUCUCGUGCACUAAACUUCCAGUAAUGCACCUUACUGCCAUGAACCCUCUGUUAAUCCCUCUGUUAAUCCUUGCCCUUACAUCCUUUUUCCAAACAUUGCUGCAAUCCUACGAAACCUUCCUAGAAAAGGAAAGAAAUAUCCAGUUCAGGUUAUGAUCCUAAAAUCAGGACGACAGCCACUAUGUAUUUUCAUUACCGAUCACAUUCUGAAUAAAUCAGUAGUUGUUACUAGAUAAAACAUCAAAGAAAUUGGCAAUCAAAUAUUCACAGAGCCAAAUGUGCAUCUUGAAAUAUUUUAUUUACAUUUACAAAGCAGGAAUCCUCUCAAUGCAGCGUCAGGAGACAGAGAAUAUUGAUAAUGUUUGACCUGGAUUGUAGCUCUGUUGAAAGAUUGUCAAAAUAAUUGCCAAUUAUAAUGCUGUCGAUUUUUCUCCUCUUAUCUUUUCCGCUCUACUUGAAAUGAUUUAUUUCAGCCACUGUUUGUUGUUUUGGUGCUGAUGUGAAAAGUGCAAACAAACAACACAGGAGCUGGCGGAGAGCAGCGAGCAUAUCUACAGCAUCAGGUAACACAGCGCCGUGUUUAAUUACGUCCCUGCUAGAUAUGGCCCAUACUGAACUUAUGCCUGCCCACGCUGCUAGAUGUCAGGGUCACAUGGUAUAUAAUUGUGAUCCCCUCCCCACACACACACACACACACACAUACAGCCGUGGAAAAAAAGAAGACACCACUGCAGCAUUAUCAAUUUCUCUGGUUUUAUUAUUUAUACUUGAUUAUAUGAUACAUGAUUUUUUUAUUGUAUUCUAUAAACUGCUGACAAUUCUUCUCUGUGUUGGAAUUCAACUGACACUGGAAUGGCUGCCAUCCAUAUACACACACACACACACACACACACACACACACACCAUUGUGCUCAGUAUUAAUGUGAGCUGGACCUCACCGUCCUGACAUGGCUUGAUUCAUGAGGGGACGAGACACGGAUACUGAAUAGUUGAUGAGCUGGAAGAAGAAGAAAAGAAGUGGAGCGGUGGGGUGGGGGCAGAAAUAGA